ACCUAGAGCUUGGACGACCUAAUCUUCAGUUUCCUGUCUGACCUGCUCGCUGUUUCUUCUCGUGCUCGUGUUCUUUCUGCGUCAGAACACGAUGCGGUUCUACUAGGAAUGUCGGAGCAAUCUUUGGUGUAUCCUGUUGAAUCACGACUUGACCCAUGUGCUGUUGUCUGGGCAAGUGUGAAAACCAAUCAUUUCUAAAAGCUGCCUCCACGGAUUCUGUUUCAGCUGCCUUCUCCAGUGGUCAAAGUGAAACCAGUGCCCACUAUGUGUGAAACCAUUCAGCUCAGUCAUCCAUAAUAUAAAAUCCAACAAUGAGUAUGACGAAUUUAAUAUUGACUUGGUGGGGCAGAAGAAAUUCUAAGCAGUGAACUCAGCGAAUCUGCUGAUGAUGAUGAUUCCAUCAAUACCGCUAGUAGUGAUUCCAGCUGGUAUACCAUUGGCAGUGACGAUGAGUCAACAGUGAUGAUGAGUCUAGCAGUGAUGAAUCCAGCUCUGAAAGUGAUCUUUUCGGAUUGGAUGAUAUCUUUUUCCUGGGAGCCCGUCUUGAGCGAGCAGGUUCAGCAAAGACUCGAUGCUUCUCUGUUGUCCCGCCAUUCAGAC